rnacentral:rRNA from 1 species
AACGCUAGCGGCAGGCCUAAUACAUGCAAGUCGAACGGCAGCGGGUACUUCGGGAUGCCGGCGAGUGGCGGACGGGUGCGUAACGCGUAUGCAACCUACCCAUCACAGGGGGAUAGCCCGGGGAAACUCGGAUUAUACCCCAUAAAGCAGGGGUCCGCAUGGAACUAUUUGCUAAAGAUUAUCGGUGAUGGAUGGGCAUGCGUCUGAUUAGUUAGUUGGUGAGGUAACGGCUCACCAAUGCGACGAUCAGUAGGGGGUCUGAGAGGAUGAUCCCCCACACUGGCACUGAGAUACGGGCCAGACUCCUACGGGAGGCAGCAGUAGGGAAUAUUGGUCAAUGGGCGAGAGCCUGAACCAGCCAUGCCGCGUGCAGGAAGACGGCCUUCUGGGUUGUAAACUGCUUUUCUACGGGAAUAAAAAGGUUCUGCGGGACAAAUUGCAUGUACCGUAGGAAUAAGCACCGGCUAACUCCGUGCCAGCAGCCGCGGUAAUACGGAGGGUGCAAGCGUUGUCCGGAUUUAUUGGGUUUAAAGGGUGCGUAGGCGGAUAAUUAAGUCAGGGGUGAAAGGCAUUGGCUCAACCAAUGAAUUGCCUUUGAUACCGGUUAUCUUGAGUUCAGUUGAGGUGGGCGGAAUUUAUGGUGUAGCGGUGAAAUGCAUAGAUACCAUAAAGAACACCGAUAGCGUAGGCAGCUCACUAAGCUGAAACUGACGCUGAGGCACGAAAGCAUGGGGAGCGAACAGGAUUAGAUACCCUGGUAG